GGAGAAGGGCAGGGCACUUCCUUCCUGUGCCCCUCCCCUCUAUCGUCCGUCUCCCCCUCUCUAUUUUUACCUCUCUGCUCUCUUGCCCCUAAGCCUUUUCUCUCCCCAUCUGGCUUUUCUCUCCAUCGGUCAGUGCGCUCAGCUUGCACUGCCCUCCAGCCUGUCUCUAAAAAAGACAAAAACCGAAUGAUGAAGGAAAGUGACAGGAUUUCCAUUUCCAGAAACCCAAGUCUUGACUUUAUCCGCAAGGGAGAGGGAUGGCCCUGCAAGUGGAUUCCAUUCAGUAUCUUGCCUGCGGAGGAUGAAGAAGCCAGGAGGGUCUCAAGAACGGAGCGCAGCUGUUGGGAGCAGCUCACUUGGAGGAGGAAAAUGUUUUCUCUUAGGUAUCCGCCCUCGUCUCUCUCUCUCUGCUCCGGGUGUGGGACUGGAGGGGUCAGAGAUACAAAGUGUCCAGGCAGCCAGAAUGUCAAGCAAUUACACUGUUCCAAGGGCAGAAGGUUAAAUGUGUAUGCCACACACAAAAUACAAUUGCGCCGACGGCGCUUGUAGCAAUGAGUGGCUAUCUUAGCCUAAGCCAGUUCCCAAAAUAGGAAUGCUCACUUGCUGGGAAUUGGAGGAAAACCACGAAUUCACUUCAAGGUAUAGCGCCUUGGCUUGCCAGAAAAUUGCUGUGAGUGGGCAAGGACUGGGGCAUUAGGAUUGGGGGCUUGGGGUUGGGGGCAGAUCUGCUGCGAGAACUAAUGACUUGAGUUGGAGGGAAAACAGGAAUAAAAGACUUUGUAUUCAAUUUCCACUCCCUUGAAACACACUACCCUGUGGGAGCCAUACAUAAUUAAUGAUAUUACCAUGCAACAGUAGGACUACAGAGAUAUGCUAAUAUUGAUGAAUAUUUUUUCAUUUUUAUUGCACUUUUCAAGUACGCCAAAAAACAUUAAAAGUUCAUAAAAGAAAAUAAUUUGGCUCCAUCAUGACUGAUCUCAUACCUGCAAAAUGAGUCCAUGGUACCACAAGUUUACCAGCCAUCUGCGCUUAUUGGGACAGCCCCAUUUUUCACUAUUUGUGGUCCCAGAUGUCUGGACGUUUCAGAUAAACUCCCAGGUUUGAGUAUUGGCUUUUACCAGAAGGAACAGAC
rnacentral:lncRNA from 1 species